AUUGAACGCUGGCGGCAGGCCUAACACAUGCAAGUCGAACGAGUGGCGGACGGGUGAGUAAUGCUUGGGAAUCUAGCUUAUGGCGGGGGAUAACUACGGGAAACUGUAGCUAAUACCGCGUAACAUCGGAUGAGCCCAAGUGGGAUUAGGUAGUUGGUGGGGUAAAGGCUCACCAAGCCGACGAUCACUACCUGGUCGGCGAGGAUGACCAGCAACACUGGGACUGAGACACGGCCCAGACUCCUACGGGAGGCAGCAGUGGGGAAGAUUGCGCAAUGGGGGCAACCUGACGCAGCCAGGCCGCGGGAAUGAAGAGGGCCUUCGGGUUGUAAAGUUCUUGAGGUAGCUAGGCGUUAACUACAGAAGAAGCACCGGCUAACGCCGUGCCAGCAGCCGCGGUAAUUC
rnacentral:rRNA from 1 species